AGCGGCGGAUGGGUGAGUAACACGUGGGGAACCUGCCCCUAAGUCUGGGAUACCAUUUGGAAACAGGUGCUAAUACCGGAUAAUAAAGCAGAUCGCAUGAUCAGCUUUUGAAAGGCGGCGUAAGCUGUCGCUAAGGGAUGGCCCCGCGGUGCAUUAGCUAGUUGGUAAGGUAACGGCUUACCAAGGCGACGAUGCAUAGCCGAGUUGAGAGACUGAUCGGCCACAUUGGGACUGAGACACGGCCCAAACUCCUACGGGAGGCAGCAGUAGGGAAUCUUCCACAAUGGACGCAAGUCUGAUGGAGCAACGCCGCGUGAGUGAAGAAGGUUUUCGGGUCGUAAAGCUCUGUUGUUGGUGAAGAAGGAUAGAGGUAGUAACUGGCCUUUAUUUGACGGUAAUCAACCAGAAAGUCACGGCUAACUACGUGCCAGCAGCCGCGGUAAUACGUAGGUGGCAAGCGUUGUCCGGAUUUAUUGGGCGUAAAGCGAGCGCAGGCGGAAAAAUAAGUCUAAUGUGAAAGCCCUCGGCUUAACCGAGGAACUGCAUCGGAAACUGUUUUUCUUGAGUGCAGAAGAGGAGAGUGGAACUCCAUGUGUAGCGGUGGAAUGCGUAGAUAUAUGGAAGAACACCAGUGGCGAAGGCGGCUCUCUGGUCUGCAACUGACGCUGAGGCUCGAAAGCAUGGGUAGCGAACAGGAUUAGAUACCCUGGUAGUCCAUGCCGUAAACGAUGAGUGCUAAGUGU
rnacentral:rRNA from 1 species